CCUGAGGAGCCAUCGCUCAGCGGCAGAGCAUCUGCUUUGCAUGCAGAAGGUCACAGGUUCAAUCCCCAGCAUCUUCAGGA